rnacentral:rRNA from 1 species
GACAGAGGGUGCAAACGUUGCUCGGAAUCACUGGGCGUAAAGGGCGUGUAGGCGGGAAGGAAAGUCAGAUGUGAAAUCCCUGGGCUCAACCCAGGAACUGCAUUUGAAACUCCCUUUCUUGAGUGUCGGAGAGGAAAGCGGAAUUCCCGGUGUAGAGGUGAAAUUCGUAGAUAUCAGGAGGAACACCGGUGGCGAAGGCGGCUUUCUGGACGACAACUGACGCUGAGACGCGAAAGCGUGGGGAGCAAACAGG